rnacentral:rRNA from 1 species
CGUAGGGACCGAGCGUUGUCCGGAUUCAUUGGGCGUAAAGAGCUCGCAGGCGGCCACUCAAGUCGAAUGUGAAACCUCGAGGCUUAACCUCGAGCCUGCAUUCGAUACUGGGCGGCUAGAGUCUGGUAGGGGGAUCUGGAAUUCCUGGUGUAGCGGUGGAAUGCGCAGAUAUCAGGAGGAACACCGGUGGCGAAGGCGGGAUCCUGGGCCAGUACUGACGCUGGGGAGCGAAAGCGUGGGGAGCAAACAGGAUUAGAUACCCUGGUAGUCCACGCCGUAAACGAUGGGCGCUAGGUGUGGGAGGUCAUCGACUCCUUCCGUGCCGCAGCUAACGCAUUAAGCGCCCCGCCUGGGGAGUACGGCCGCAAGGCUA